rnacentral:rRNA from 1 species
AUUGAACGCUGGCGGCAUGCCUUACACAUGCAAGUCGAACGGCAGCACGGGGCAACCUGGUGGCGAGUGGCGAACGGGUGAGUAAUGCAUCGGAACGUGCCAUUGAGUGGGGGAUAACGUAGCGAAAGUUGCGCUAAUACCGCAUAUUCUGUGAGCAGGAAAGCAGGGGACCGCAAGGCCUUGCGCUCUUUGAGCGGCCGAUGUCAGAUUAGCUAGUUGGUGAGGUAACGGCUUACCAAGGCGACGAUCUGUAGCGGGUCUGAGAGGAUGAUCCGCCACACUGGAAUUGAGACACGGUCCAGACUCCUACGGGAGGCAGCAGUGGGGAAUUUUGGACAAUGGGCGCAAGCCUGAUCCAGCCAUGCCGCGUGAGUGAAGAAGGCCUU